GCGCCAGACUCCUACGGGAGGCAGCAGUGAGGAAUAUUGGUCAAUGGCCGAGAGGCUGAACCAGCCAAGUCGCGUGAGGGAUGACGGCCCUACGGGUUGUAAACCUCUUUUGCCGGGGAGCAAAGAGCGGGGCGCGUCCCGCCUCGAGAGUACCCGGAGAAAAAGCAUCGGCUAACUCCGUGCCAGCAGCCGCGGUAAUACGGAGGAUGCGAGCGUUAUCCGGAUUUAUUGGGUUUAAAGGGUGCGCAGGCGGACGCGCAAGUCAGCGGUAAAAUUGCGGGGCUCAACCUCGUCGAGCCGUUGAAACUGGGUGCCUUGAGUGGGCGAGAAGUACGCGGAAUGCGUGGUGUAGCGGUGAAAUGCAUAGAUAUCACGCAGAACUCCGAUUGCGAAGGCAGCGUACCGGCGCCCAACUGACGCUGAAGCACGAAGGCGUGGGUAUCGAACAGGAUUAGAUACCCCAGUA
rnacentral:rRNA from 1 species